GACGGGUAACGGGGAAUUAGGGUUCGAUUCCGGAGAGGGAGCCUGAGAAACGGCUACCACAUCUAAGGAAGGCAGCAGGCGCGCAAAUUACCCAAUCCUAAUACAGGGAGGUAGUGACAAGAAAUAACAAUACAGGACUUUUUGGUUUUGUAAUUGGAAUGAGUUAAGUAUAAACCCCUUUACAAGUAUCAAUUGGAGGGCAAGUCUGGUGCCAGCAGCCGCGGUAAUUCCAGCUCCAAUAGCGUAUAUUAAAGUUGUUGC
rnacentral:rRNA from 1 species